rnacentral:tRNA from 1 species
AGCUCAGUGGCAGAGCAGGCGGCUCAUAACCGCUUGGUUGAAGGUUCGAAUCCUUUCGGACCCA